rnacentral:rRNA from 1 species
GCCUUUACUGACGCUAAAGCUCGAAGGUGCGGGUAUCGAACAGGAUUAGAUACCCUGGUAGUCCGCACGGUAAACGAUGGAUGCCCGCUGUUUGCGAUAUACUGUGAGCGGCCAAGAGAAAUCGUUAAGCAUCCCACCUGGGGAGUACGCCGGCAACGGUGAAACUCAAAGGAAUUGACGGGGGCCCGCACAAGCGGAGGAACAUGUGGUUUAAUUCGAUGAUACGCGAGGAACCUUACCCGGGCUUGAACUGCAGGCGAACGAUACAGAGAUGUUGAGGCCCUUCGGGGCGCCUGUGGAGGUGCUGCAUGGUUGUCGUCAGCUCGUGCCGUGAGGUGUCGGCUUAAGUGCCAUAACGAGCGCAACCCUUUUCAUUAGUUGCCAUCAGGUAAUGCUGGGCACUCUGGUGAUACUGCCACCGUAAGGUGUGAGGAAGGUGGGGAUGACGUCAAAUCAGCACGGCCCUUACGUCCGGGGCUACACACGUGUUACAAUGGGUGGUACAGAGAGUCGGAUCAACGCAAGUUGGUUCUAAUCCUUAAAGCCAUCCUCAGUUCGGAUUGGGGUCUGCAACCCGACCCCAUGAAGCUGGAUUCGCUA